rnacentral:rRNA from 1 species
UACGGAGGGUGCAAGCGUUGUCCGGAAUCACUGGGCGUAAAGGGCGCGUAGGCGGCCCGGUAAGUAGGGGGUGAAAUCCUGCGGCUUAACCGCAGGGCUGCCUUCUAAACUGUCGGGCUCGAGCACGGUAGAGGCAGAUGGAAUUCCCGGUGUAGCGGUGGAAUGCGUAGAGAUCGGGAAGAACACCGGUGGCGAAGGCGGCGAGCUGGUCCGUAUCGUGACGCUGAGGCGCGACAGCGUGGGGAGCAAACAGG